GGAGGAUGGUGUUUUAGAUAUAUUUGGUCGUGUAGUCACAUCUGUUUGCCUACACGGAUGUGUGUGAGUGGUGGCUGUAUUAUUUAGUAGACAUAGAAGGUUGAUAUAGUGUCGUUUUGUACUGGCGGAGAUUUUCUUUGGCAUAGGUGGGUGUAUGAUGGUGUAGUUGUUGUGUCAUUAAAUUGUUGUUGGCAUUUGAUAUGCAAAUGGGUGAAUUUGAUUAUUUAGGUUUGGGCCUGCUUGCGUUUUGGAAAGUUAAUUGUAAGUGAUACAUAAAAAGAAAGAUUGGAUGUGUAACUACCAUACCUUCUCUAGAACAAAUCUAAAUGUUAGCGAGUCUUGUCAUCUGUAUGUAAUAAUAACACUUCUAGGAUUGCUCUUUUAUACAUUUCAUGUAGGAAUUUUGUGGAAUUCUUUAGACUCUUAAAUUAGCUAUGUAAAGUGGGUUUCUGUUUUUUCUUAUUAUGCCGAGCCGAGUGAUAUACAUGUGUAUUCCCAGCAAACUUUUGAUUUGUUUCUUUUUCUCCUAUCUAAUUUUAUCUGAAUAUGUGCUCCAUUCAUGAAAAUUUUCAGUGCAGAGCAUGAGCAGACCGUAGAGAUAUGUUGCAUAGUCGUGUGAAGUUGUGGCUGUGGUCCGUAUGUGAUGC
rnacentral:lncRNA from 1 species